rnacentral:rRNA from 1 species
GACAGAGGGUGCAAACGUUGUUCGGAAUUGCUGGGCGUAAAGCGCGUGUAGGCGGCAAGGAAAGUCGGGUGUGAAAGCCCUGGGCUCAACCCAGGAAGUGCAUUCGAUACUGCCAAGCUAGAGUCCCGGAGAGGAUGGUGGAACUCUCGGUGUAGAGGUGAAAUUCGUAGAUAUCGAGAAGAACACCGGUGGCGAAGGCGGCCAU